rnacentral:rRNA from 1 species
UACGUAGGGGGCUAGCGUUGUCCGGAAUUAUUGGGCGUAAAGAGCUCGUAGGCGGUCUGUCGCGUCGGCUGUGAAAACUCGGGGCUCAACCCCGAGCCUGCAGUCGAUACGGGCAGACUAGAGUGCUGUAGGGGAGACUGGAAUUCCUGGUGUAGCGGUGAAAUGCGCAGAUAUCAGGAGGAACACCUAUUGCGAAGGCAGCUCGCUGGGACGUAACUGACGCUGAGACGCGAAAGCGUGGGGAGCAAACAGG